rnacentral:rRNA from 1 species
UACGAAGGGGGCUAGCGUUGUUCGGAAUUACUGGGCGUAAAGCGUGCGCAGGCGGCUUCUCAAGUCAGGGGUGAAAGCCCAGAGCUCAACUCUGGAAUUGCCUUUGAGACUGAGUGGCUUGAGUACGGGAGAGGUGAGUGGAAUUCCCAGUGUAGAGGUGAAAUGCGUUGAUAUCCUAAGGAACACCCGUGGCGAAAGCGGCUCACUGGGUCUCUUCUGACGCUGAGGCGCGAAGGCUAGGGGAGCGAACGGG